GGGGAAUUUUGGACAAUGGGGGCAACCCUGAUCCAGCAAUGCCGCGUGAGUGAAGAAGGCCCUCGGGUUGUAAAGCUCUUUUGUCAGGGAAGAAACGGAGUUCUCUAAUAUAGGAUUCUAAUGACGGUACCUGAAGAAUAAGCACCGGCUAACUACGUGCCAGCAGCCGCGGUAAUACGUAGGGUGCAAGCGUUAAUCGGAAUUACUGGGCGUAAAGCGUGCGCAGGCGGUUUUGUAAGUCUGAUGUGAAAUCCCCGGGCUCAACCUGGGAACUGCAUUGGAGACUGCAAGGCUAGAGUGUGUCAGAGGGGGGUAGAAUUCCACGUGUAGCAGUGAAAUGCGUAGAGAUGUGGAGGAAUACCGAUGGCGAAGGCAGCCCCCUGGGAUAACACUGACGCUCAUGCACGAAAGCGUGGGGAGCAAAC
rnacentral:rRNA from 1 species